CAAAACAAUGUCUACUUUUUAACAACUCCAGUGUAUUGAAAAUAAACUUUGUUUGUAAACCACAUAAUGUGCACUCUAUUUUGGAAAGACUUACGAAUCACCCCACCGCCCUAACUGCUGUGGAAAGAGCAUAGAAUAUGCGCAGUGCCUGUAGCAAACUGACCCUCAAGAACAAGCGGAAUGUUUCCAAGGGGAAGAGGUUGCAGGGUGGAAUUUUCAAGAGCGACACUCGAUGACCUAGGCUGACUUCAUCAUUUUAUGGCUGGUUUGGUCAAGUAGCAGAUUAAACUCCACUCCAUCACAGUUUAUACACCCUUUCAAUAAUAAAAAAUAACCCAAGAUAGAUUACAGCCUGUCGUUUCCAAUGGGAGAAAAUUAAUCAUAGUGGGCAGAACCAACUUCAACUGGCAAAUACCUACCUUCAAUGGUCACUGGCACGCUGGAUAAGUGUGCAGUUCAUAGAUGAAUGGCGAUUUCAACUACCGGGCAGAUGGCAGUGUUAACAGCGUGUCCCAUGGUGGCGGUGGGGUUAUGGCAUGGGCAAGCAUAAGCUACAGAUAACGAACACAAUUGCAUUUUAUCGAUGGCAAUUUGAAUGAAGAGAUACCGUGACGAUCCGUCAUUCAUUUGGGCGGCAGGUAGCCUAACGCUUAGAGCGUUGGGCCAGUAACCGAGAGGUCGCUGUUUUGAAUACCCGAGCCGAAAAUGUGAAAUUCCUGUCCGUGAGCAAGGCACCUCGUCCUAAUUUGCUACAGGGACCGACCCUGUAGGUAGGUCGUCAUUGUAACUAAGAAUUUGUUCUUAACUGACUUGCCUAGUUAAAUAAAAUUCAGGGAUAAAAUGGUGGGGCUGUUGUGAGCAAAAAACUAAAAUGUGUUCCCUGUUUUGAAAUCAAAUCACAUAUCCACCGUAGCUUUGUCUGGAGUGAUCAUGUCAACAUCAUACUUUCAAAAUCUUAGCUAGACAAGCAGUCAUCAUGAAUCAAGUCGACAAUCUACUGGUAAAUCAUUUUCAAACCUUGUCAUAUGAAGAACAAUUCAUGAUAGAAAUGUGUCGGUGCUCAUCGGCAAAUUGGAAAUCGUAAAUUCAACAAUAAGUUGUUUGGAAGGAAUAAGUGGCUAACUGAAAGCAUCGCAGAGCAAUCACUAGCCUGCUAUUCAGUGGAGUGGGUGUUUAGUCCAAGUCAGGGUUUACGGGUCUCUUUUCCAAACUUAAAAGGAUAAACAUUCACAUGCAACCACAUUGGCCAUGCUGUCAAUCUAGCGUUACUUCUGCCGCAUUCAAAACAAAUGGAAACUUGUAACUGGGAAAUCUCAGACUUCGGAGAGUUCAAGACCACUUUUGAACGGUCAUCCAACUCGGAAUUCCAAAUCUGGGACUCUGACUUCUUUCUAGAGCUCCGACCUGACGACCACUGACGCCUUGAUUCAAACUUGAGUUCCUAGUUGUCUUGAAAGCACCAUGAAUCCAGAGAAUGCCAGACUUUGAUGACAAAAUUUUCCCACAAGAACCACCGUGCCACCUUCCUGUUCAAGUGAGCCCAGCAUAACAAGGCACUAUAGUAUUGCCAGCCUAAUCUCGGGAGUUGAUAAGCUUGAAGUCAUAAACAGCGCUGUGCUUCAAGCAUUGCGAAGAGCUGCUGGCAAAUGCAGAACAGUGAGAUAGAGCCUAAGGAUUCCCCAAUCCCUAAAAUGUCUCCCAAGAGGAAGAUAAAUCUCAUGCAUUAUUCAUAACAAUUCAGUGGCCAAGCCCACAGCCAUUUCAGUUUCCACCACAUCAACACCAAGAGUGGAUUGCUUCACAGCGUGCAGGAACCUGUUUGGUCACUGGGUCCCGGAAGCGUAUUGUGGUGUCUAUUGCUGAUUA